GACGAACGCUGGCGGCGUGCUUAACACAUGCAAGUCGAACGAAGUGGCGAACGGGUGAGUAACGCGUAAUCAACCUGCCCUUCAGAGGGGGACAACAGUUGGAAACGACUGCUAAUACCUCAUACUGAAGGUGGGGAUUGCGUCUGAUUAGCUAGUUGGAGGGGUAACGGCCCACCAAGGCGAUGAUCAGUAGCCAGUCGGAGAGGGGGAACGGGCACAAUGGGACUGAGACACGGGCCAGACUCCUACGGGGGGCAGCAGUGAGGGAUCUUCCGAAAUGGGGGAAAGUCGUACGGAGCAACGCCGCGUAGAGGAUGACGGGCUUCGGGUUGUAAAGCUCUGUUAAUCGGGACACGGUACCGGAAUAGAAAGCCACGGCUAACUACGUGCCAGCAGCCGCGGUAAUAC
rnacentral:rRNA from 1 species